GCCUAGCUGGCUCAGUCUGUGGAGCAUGCAAGUCUUGAUCUUGGGGUUAUGGGUUCGAGUCCCAUGUUGGGUA
rnacentral:tRNA from 1 species